AACAAAACAAACAGCUGCCGCGCAAUUGAAAAUUGCGCUAAACAAAAGGAAAUACAAAAAAACAAACUAUUGGCGACGGGCCCAAUUGGACCCCGGCGUACCCUCCCUGCCUGAGAUGGCCACAUCGGCGCCAUCUCGCUUGCGUUGACCACCACAUCAGUGGCUGCUCCUCAUCCGGGGUAGCGCUGUGGAAUUCCCCUCCCCACCAUGCUGAGAUGACUCACACAACCAUGUUCAAGAUAUUUAAAUUUUAUUACGGCUACACGGAACAGGAUUUGAAGCAAAAGCAAACAACAAUGCAAACAAAGUACCAAAUAACGAAGUAGGAACGGAGCGAAACAACAACGGCGUAAAGAACAACUUUUAUAGUUCGCGCAUUCGGGAGAUUGGCAUAUAUAUUUACACAUUUAUAAUUUUAUAUACGCACGUUUGUUUACAUUUGCAUACCUUUACUUACAUCGCUUAAUCAUCUACCUUGACCUGCCUAAGAGCUCUUGGGAUUGGUUAAGGGCGAUAUGGGUGAGGUGAUAUAGAAAAUAUCUGCAUAUAUAUAUAUCAAUUAGUAAAUACAAAUGCAUCAAUCC